rnacentral:lncRNA from 1 species
CUGGACAUGGAAGGCAGUGUCGUACAGUGCAGAGAUGGGGCCUUGGAGAGAGACAGACUGGAACUUGACUCCUGAGAACCACUGGGGUCGCUAGGAUGUUAGUUCUAUACAGACAGGGGUCCCGUGUGUCUUGUUCAUUUUGGUAACCCAGUGUAGAGUGAAUGCUCAAAUAUGAUUUGUUGGAAGAAUUCGGGAAUGAAAUAGUAUCUAUGAAACUUUACAAAAUCAACUGGCUCAGCGAGUUAAGAACGCGACAUAGUGUCCAUAGGUUGUGGGUUUAAUCCCUGGCCUCACUCAGUGAGUUAAGGAUCUGGCAUUGCUCUGAGCUGUGGUGUAGAUUAAAGAUGCGGCUCAGAUCCAGUAUUAGUGUGGCUGUGGUGCAGGCCAGCAGCUGCAGCUCCAAUGCAACCCCUAGCCUUGGAACUUCCACAUGCUGCAGGUGCAGCCCUAAAAAGAAAACAAAAAGAAAUCAACCUCUCUAAGCUUGAGUUGCCUCAUUUGUAGAGAUGUGAAGAGUUGAUCAUUGGGAUUAAGUGAGAGAGAAUAGAUGCAUUUAGCAAACAUUUCUUGAGGUUCUGCUGUGUGCCCAUAUUGUACUAGGCGCUGAUGACAUAGAGAACAAAGGAGGUAAAACUCCUGGCCUUUGUGGAUUCUGUUUUCCAGCAGGGGAGACAGAAUAAACAAAGCAACCGAAAACACUAAGUUGCAUGAAAAGUGAAAUGUUGGAAGUUCCCAUUAGGGUGCAGCAGAAACGAAUCCAACUAGGAAACAUGAGGUUGCAGGUUUGAUCCCUGGCCUUGCUCAGUGGGUUAAGGAUCAGGUGUUGCCAUGAGUUAUUGUGUAGGGUGCAGAUGCAGCUUGGGUCUGGCAUUGCUGUGGUGUAGGCUGGUGCCUGUAGCUCCGAUUCAACCCGUAGCCUGGGAACCUCCAUGUGCUACAGGUGCAGCCCUGAAAAAAAAAAAAAGGCAAAAAAAUGUGAGAUGUCAUCUGUGGAAAUGUGAGCAGGGUAUGGAAUGGGAAGUCAGAGGUGAGGGGUUCCCAUUUCAAAUUGGGAGAGAAGGUCAAAGAUGGCUUGUUCUUUGGGAAUGGGGAAGUUGAUGUUUGAGCAGAGACCAAAGAGGUCAGGAGUCAGUCAUGUGAAUAUGAUAGAGAAGAGCACGUGCAAAGGUCCUGAGGCAGGAGCCUGCAUGGCACGAAGCAGAAACACAAGCCAGCCACUGUGACAGGAGUGAGCAGAUGGCAAGAGAAGGAAUAAGAGAUGAAGCCAGUGGGUAGCAGGGCCCAUAUUGGUGGGAACUUGAAGGCUGUUUGGAAAAGGAUUUUAGCAUCUGCUCUGAGAAGGGCUGUAACAUUUCCAAGAACCUACCUGGUACUUAGUUGGCGUUUCGCAAACACCUCUCUGCCUCCUUUGUGAAAAUCAACCAAGAUGACUUUGCUCAGAGUCCUGAGCUAAAAACUGCUGCUCUCCGAUGGAUCAUUCUGUAAAAUACAUGAUCCUAGCCUGGUGAGCUCUAGAAAGGAGGUGGUUGGGGGUGAGCUCUAGAAAAGGUCUGGAGCCCUAGUCUCACUUGUUCAAAGUCAGGUACCAUCCUGCUGUCUACUCCUAACACGUGCCGUUCUCUUCUCUUACGUCUGAUUUCAAGCAGGCAAAACCUGGAGUGUUGGGCGGUGGGGUCAUGGCUUACUCCAGUGCUGGUAGGAAACAAGCUGCAGGGAGAUAAUCGAGUCGGGUCCCAGACAAGACCAAGCAGAAGCCAGGCUGCCCUUCCAGAGGAUUCCCAGCCCAAGAGGUCCCCAUGCUCCCUUCUGGAGACAAAGAUCCCCUCUGCCGCCUUGGGGGGGGAGGGGAGGGCAGGGAGCAGCACGCAGGCCACUGCACAGCCGGGAUCUUUCUGCACUUGUCCCUCAUUGAACAAAGAGUGGGCGUGAUGACACACAGUGUUGCCGUUUGGCCUGGGCUGGUGUCUGCUCCAGCUUCUCCCUUUCCUGAGAGCACUAAGCUGCUGGCAAGGCCUGUGUGGGCUGAGGAGCCCUGAGAAGAACCUGGUUUUGCAAAGGCCUUGCAGAAGUGAUCUCAAAGGAGGAAGCCCUGGGUUCCUGAGUGCCUCCAGCCCGCAGUCACCAGGUCUCUGCGGUGCCAGGAUGGUAGCCACCAGGCACGUGGGGCUAGUUCCAUGUGAAUUUAAAUUAAUUAGCAUUAAGCGAAACUGGAAAUUCAGUUCUUUGUUCCCCACUGGCCGCACUUGGAGCGCCCAGUAGCCACGUGUGGCUGCCAUCUUGAAUGGCACAGACGUGCAGUCUUUCUGUCACGGCAGGACGUUUCGUUGCACAGGGCUUGUCUCCACACCUGAGCCCUCCAGUCUCCCUGAGGGCGGGGCUAGAGCCACUGCCUGACUCAGGGGAACAGGAGAUAGAUCCAUGGUGACAGGGCCAGGAAAAGGUGGAGUGACUGAGGACCUUACCUCCCGGCAUAGUUCCACAUCCGGAAAGUGGGAAGCACUUGUGUUUUCAAGGUGUCUCGGACCCCAGGGGAAACUCGAAUGGAGAGAGAGGGCGGUGAUGGUACUUCCAGGGGAUGCACGAUUCCAGCAAGCUGUGCUUCCCAUUUUAAACACCCUUCCUUCCCCUCUUCCUUCCUCCCUCCUCCCUCCCUUCCUUCCUUUCCCUCCCUUUCCCUCUUCCCAUCAUCCAUCCUUCUCUCCUCCCUCCCACCCCUAUCCUUCCUCUUCCCUCCCCCCUCCAUCCUUCCCUCUUCCCUCCCUCCCCCAUCCUUCCCUCUUCCCUCCCUCCCCCAUCCUUCUCUCCCCCCUCCCCCUCCAUCCUUCCCUUCCUUCCUUUGUGGCCUCUUCAGUUUUCAUAGGUCAAGAUUACUGUGACCCACUCUACUUUUUCUGGGAUGAAUUGAAAGAACCACCUCCAUUGGAGGAGAGAUGGGGGGAGGGGUGUGCAGAAAAAGGCUCCAUUCUUGCAUGUCAGGCAGUGACAUUAAAACAACAUUCCACGUUGUUUUAAUCCUCACAGCAGUUUUGAGAAGUAGAUAUCGGUGUGCCCUUUACACAGAUUAGAAAACUGAGGCUCGGAGGGGAACAGAGGUGUCCCACUGGAGAGAGAUAACAAGUGCUUGGUCUGGGGUUCAGGCCACGGGCUACCUAGCCACAGCAUCCAUGCUUUUUCCACCGGCCUGGGCAGUGACUGACAUGGCUGUAAUUUCGAGGGGAAAUUGCUUGUGAUUCCCUGCUUCUCCCCAACAUGGCACCCUUGCCACCUUGGAGGCCAGGCUUCUGAUUGAGCGCUGAGGGUGGGGUUGCCCAAAGCUCCUGUACAGAACAACCAUUUUUCCCUUUUAAUAGUGAAGAGAUACGUGUGAAAACACACCAGCAUCUGAGAUUUGGUGUCUUGGGGAAUGGGCUGCUGCCAGUGAGUUUAGGAAUUGUUUCCCUCACUGCUUACCUGCAGGGGUCAUGACUACAGUUCCAAAAAGUGACAAGGUGACAAAUGUUUACCUCCAGGAAAAGAGAGGCU